rnacentral:tRNA from 1 species
GGCCCCGUAGCUCAACGGCAGAGCGCCGGGCUUUUAACCCGGGCGUUUUGGGUUCGAAUCCCAACGGGGCCACCA